GUGCCAGCAGCCGCGGUAAGACGUAGGAGGCGAGCGUUAUCCGGAUUCACUGGGCGUAAAGCGCAUGUAGGCGGCUGGACAAGUCGUGUGUUAAAGCCCCUGGCUCAACUGGGGGAGGUCAUGCGAGACUGUUCGGCUGGAGGGCAACAGAGGCACGUGGAACUCCCGGUGUAGCGGUGGAAUGCGUAGAGAUCGGGAAGAACACCAGUGGCGAAGGCGACGUGCUGGGUUGCACCUGACGCUGAGAUGCGAAAGUGUGGGGAGCAAACGGGAUUAGAAACCCCAGUAGUCC
rnacentral:rRNA from 1 species